AAAAAACAAAUCAUGCCCAUUACCAAACUAGUAGAGCGACAAAACCACUCGCACCCAUCCCCAAGAAUAGCAGGGCAGCAAAACCCCGCGAGCAUAGAAAAUCCCCUUGAAAAUGAUAAAGAGAGUUGAAGGAGACCCUAUCCAACAAAUUUGGAUAGCGACAGAGGUAGAGGAGCCCUAUCUGGCCAAACCCAGAAAUGAUUGUGUAGUGGAGAUACUCAGGGGUUGACAUCAUGCCACCCAAAUCAGUAAUUUCUGCAUCCUGGUUUUUUGUGGUCCUUGUUUUCAUUUACCUUUGAGCUAAUAUAUCUCUUAAACUCUAAUUCAUGUCAGGGUUUAUCUUGGACAGUCGACUAAAAAAUGGUACGGAUAAGCGGAAUCCAAUUGUUUACUUAAAACAAAGCAUUAUGAUGGUCCCUUUGGAUGUUGACGCAGUGUGAUUUAUCCCUAAUGCUAUGCAUGUCAAAGUGAAUAAAUUCAACCAAGCGCGGGUAAACGGUGGGAGUAACUAUGACUCUCUUAAGGUAGCCAAAUGCCUCAUCUUCUAAUUAGUGACGCACAUGAAUGGAUUAAUGAGAUUCAAACUGUCCCUAUCUACUAUAUAGAGAAACCACAUCUAAGGGAAUGGGUUUGACAAAAUCAACAGGGAAAGAAGACCUUGUUGAGCUUGAAUCUAGUUUGAAUUUUUGAAAUGACCUGAGAGGUGUAGAUUAAGUGGGAGUUGUUUUCAACGCAAGUGAAAUACCACUACUUUUGACAUUAUUUUACUUAUUUUGUGGGAUGGAGAUGGGGCAUUGCCCCUGUUUUUGGAAAUAAGACACGUUUCAGUGGGUCGAUCUCAACGAAAGACAUUGUCAGGUAGGGAGUUUGGUUGGGGAAACACAUCUGUUAAAAGAUAAUGCAGGUGUCCUAAGAUGAGCUCAAUGAGAACAUAAAUCUCAUGUGGAACAAAAGGGUAGAAGAUCAUUUGAUUUGCCACCAACCUCUUGAUCCUUAUAAUUCAUUGAUGGAUAUGAAUUAAUACAUCAAUUAGAUGUUUGCAUGUGUCAACGUGGUUAAUUUAAAAUACUAAUUGAUUGAGUAAUAUUAAGUGGCCAAUGGCACAUCUAGAGGAAUGGUUCAUGCAUCCCCAGGAGAGGAUAAGAUAAUAGGACUAAUAGAUUUGUGUAAAUAUAAGUUUAUAGUUUUACUCAUUGUAUAAAACUGUAGUAUUACAC
rnacentral:ncRNA from 1 species